rnacentral:sRNA from 1 species
UAGCUUCUUCUUUUUUUUUUCCUUUUUUUUAUAUAUAU